AAGUCGAACGGCAGCACAGAAGAGCUUGCUCUUUGGGUGGCGAGUGGCGGACGGGUGAGUAAUGUCUGGGAAACUGCCCGAUGGAGGGGGAUAACUACUGGAAACGGUAGCUAAUACCGCAUAACGUCGCAAGACCAAAGUGGGGGACCUUCGGGCCUCACACCAUCGGAUGUGCCCAGAUGGGAUUAGCUAGUAGGUGGGGUAAUGGCUCACCUAGGCGACGAUCCCUAGCUGGUCUGAGAGGAUGACCAGCCACACUGGAACUGAGACACGGUCCAGACUCCUACGGGAGGCAGCAGUGGGGAAUAUUGCACAAUGGGCGCAAGCCUGAUGCAGCCAUGCCGCGUGUAUGAAGAAGGCCUUCGGGUUGUAAAGUACUUUCAGCGGGGAGGAAGGCGGUGAGGUUAAUAACCUUGCCGAUUGACGUUACCCGCAGAAGAAGCACCGGCUAACUCCGUGCCAGCAGCCGCGGUAAUACGGAGGGUG
rnacentral:rRNA from 1 species